AUGGAGGUGGAGAGGCCCGUGUCCAUGAUGCCGGGCCUGGCCGACGGGUUCUUCACGGAGGCCGACCUGGCGGCGGCGGACCAGCUGGUGCAGCUCAGCGUGAGCGGGGGAGCGGAGGCGACAUCCCCGACGUCGUCCUCGCGGUCGGUGCAGUCGGUGAACAACACCGAGGCGGCGGCGAGGAAGGGCGGCUGCGAUGACGGCGCGCCGUGGCUGGACAGGAGGGCGAGGAAGCGGUACCGGCGGGUGGCGGAGCUCUACCACGCCACGCGGCCGCUUAAGCGCACGGACGCCGGCGGCAAGCGGAGGAGGGAGGAGGUCACGGGGUACCAUACCUACGCUUUCACCCCGGAGCUCGAGACAGGGUGCUCGAGUAGCACCGCAAUUGACGUCUUCUAUGUGUUGUCACCAUCACUUUUCCACAAUCCAUGUAGCUACGACGGCCGUCGCUGCACAACCAUCCCUCUGCGCCAAGCCAUUGUGUAUAGUUUGCAUCUCACCACGAAGUCAACCACCAGAUCUGAAGGACGAAAUCCUUGCAAAGAUCCUCAAUGGCCACCACAAUCUGCCGCUCCAAAGGCCGCCGGUGCAACCACGGACAGGCCCAAAGGAAUCAGGAUCAAGACGUCAAAGACUCAGCACGUGCCCAGCCAUGCAUGCACCGCGCCACGGCCAGCUCCUCAAGCAUCACCAUGGGAGGCUGCGAUGGACUCUCUGCCAGUCUACACCUGCGCGGAACCACGGCCGCGUCCUUAUGUCGCCCCCGCCUUUUGCACUCGCCGGCGCAAGCUCUUGACCAGCACUUCUAGUCCAGCUCGCCUACCCUACCCCAAAUCCCACCAAAUCCAUCAAACCCUUCCCACCUUCUCCCGCCUCCCUCCAACAUUUCCCGCGUCUGAGCCCUCGCCGUCCGCCACCCUUGCUUCCCAUCCUCGCCGCUGGUUCCAACCCUCCGCCCAAGAUGUCAUCCAGCCCGUCCCCGACCGGCGCGACAAAGGUUGCGUUCGCCUCGUCCAUCGGCAUCCCGUCCUCGGGUUCGUCCUGCAAGCCGAAGAACAUGAUCGUGAGGGACUAGCGACCGAGGUAGCAAGAGAGGGAAGCUUUGGCAUCAGAGGGAGUGGAUGCAGACAUGGACUAUCAGUUGUCCCCUCCCCCACCGCGCCCAGGACCCCGCACCACAUCCUUCACGACGUUGACAAGGAUCACGCGUCGGACCAGGUUGGGACAGAGGUGGAUCCGACGGACUGUUGGGGCAUCCCGGAGAGCUUUCCGCCCACGCUGAUGUUGGCGAUGGAUGUCUGUCACUCGCCACAGCUGGUUCUGGCGCAGGCAACCACGGGCGCUGGUGGCGCCCGGGCUGCCCACGACCUGUUCGACAUAAUGUUCUUGUUGCUCCUAUCCGAUCAACUUUGCAUGUGCCAAACGGUGGUGGCGGCCACUAUGUAUCAAGUAACGGAGAAUAAGGCAUUUGGUUUUAGCCAUUGUUGGGUGAUAUUGAAUGGCAAAACAAAGUGGACACAGCUUGUGGCCAAUCUCAAGGCCGACAAGAAGAGGAAUGAUGGCUCAAGCUCCCACCAAUCAAUUGGGUUGGACAAAGAAGAGGAAGAUGUUGUAUUGGAUAAUGGAAGAGCCGUCGUGCCAAAGGAUAUCCGGCAAGUCAUGGGAAACAAGUGGGAGAAGGCAAGGGCCUCCCACGAUGCCACGGCUACAAAAAUGUCCUCCACAUGGAUGGAAAUUUUUCCGGUGAGGGAGAACAAGAAAGAGGAGAGGUACAAGCUCAUGUUUGAUGCGCAAAAGGAGAGAAUGGAUUGGGACUGA
rnacentral:rRNA from 1 species